AGAACGAACGCUGGCGGCAUGCCUAACACAUGCAAGUCGAACGAGACCUUCGGGUCUAGUGGCGCACGGGUGCGUAACGCGUGGGAAUCUGCCCUUGGGUUCGGGAUAACAGUUGGAAACGACUGCUAAUACCGGAUGAUGACUUCGGUCCAAAAGAUUUAUCGCCCAAGGAUGAGCCCGCGUAGGAUUAGCUUGUUGGUGAGGUAAGAGCUCACCAAGGCGACGAUCCUUAGCUGGUCUGAGAGGAUGAUCAGCCACACUGGGACUGAGACACGGCCCAGACUCCUACGGGAGGCAGCAGUGGGAAUAUUGGACAAUGGGCGAAAGCCUGAUCCAGCAAAUGCCGCGUGAGGUGAUGAAGGCCUUAGGGUUAGUAAAGCUCUUUUACCCGGGAUGAAUAAUGACAGUACCGGGAAGAAUAAACGCCCCGACUAACGUCCGUGCCAGCAGGCCGC
rnacentral:rRNA from 1 species